AUGGGGCUGAGCUGUGAAGGUGUGGGUGCCCUCCUGGAAUUGCAGCCGCAGUUGCAACUCAUCUUCGAGUGAGGCUGGCAUCUAAGCACUACACACCAGAUCGUCCGUGCUGUGGCUUGGGGCCAGUUUGAGUGGGUGGUUCUAGGGCCAGGCUGAGCUGAUUGUACGCUUGUUUUCCAGGCCCGGCGGGACGGGUGUCUGCACUGUUUUCCAGGACCCCUCCUGAGGGCUGCAAAAAGCUUCCAGGCCUCCAUGUUGAUGGCAGAGCGGGCGAGGCAGCUCACCCUCCACCCUGCUGACUUCUGUGCACAUUUGGGGCCACGUUUUCAACAGCUCCAGCACUGGAGCCAAGAUAAAGUCGGCCUAAGGUUUCCACCUCAGGCCCGAACUCACCUCCUCAGCCCCUGAGACUCACCCAGAACCUCAUCAGGAGACCAGCUAACAGAACGAUGAGAACAGUUGGAGGAUCUUCUAAAGCCUUUCUCUUGCCUCGCAGUUUAUUUCCUUGCAGAAUCCAGCCCCUCAGAUGCAGCUGAUGUCUUAGCCACCACACACAGCAACCUUUUUUUGUCUUCACAGUUGUCUCUGAAGCAGCUUCCAACUAAAUAAAAGCAGCUCCGUAAAGGACACGUCAU
rnacentral:lncRNA from 1 species